GGAAUUCAGGUUAAUAUGUUGACACACUUAACAAUGCGGGGUCAUGUUGCACAAUCCGCUUGGCUGGUUCGGUGCAGCGCAGCCCCUGACAGGUCCUCAUCAGCCGCUGCCCUAAAGGCAAAGGCAAGGAGAGGAUUUUAAUUACUGCUCUAUCCGUGAGUUUGCCAGCAUUAAAUUGAGACAUAAUUAGGCCUCCGAAUCUUAAUAAUUGUCCUAGCUAAUUGGGCAGACAAGUACGCUCGGCAGCGUGGCGUGAUUAGAUAAUCAGUGUUUCCAAAUGACAAAAUUGGGCUCUUGAUGAGGGAGGGAGGGAGGGAGGGAGUGGAAGCGGGUGGCUCUCUGCUCGGGCAGAGCCGAGCCAGGCGGUGGGGCCGGGCCGGGCGCGCUCGGCCGACGCGGUGCCGCUCCGGGGGUCGGACGCACCUCCCGGACUCCCGAUUCCCCCUCCCCUGGAGGUGAAUUGAUGACUUCGGCCUCAGGACGGCGCGGCACAAGCGGCGCCCAUCGGGAGGACUUGGGGCUGGGGACGGGUCCCGCCUCGCCGGGCCCCGAGCAGGGCGGGGGCGCGCACAGCUGCGUUUCCUCCCGCUGCCGUCAGAGGGCGCCGCUCCCGCGCGGCGGCAGCUCCGCGUCCUCGGCAGGGCCGAGCCGCGGCCCCGUGAGGGUACCAGAGAUGUGCUGGAGCAGAAGCUUGAAGGUGCACCAUAAACCACCCCUGGCCCGGAGAAGCUGUAGCUGAAGUAGAACCCUCAUCUGCUCUAGUGACACAAUCCUGUGGCCUAACUCAGCAGUCCUCACCGGGUCCUGCUAGGGGUGGUGACACAUCCUCGGGGCCUAUGAGCUGCCGAGGGUGUUGCUUUCCUGUUUCACAUAACGAGUUGCUUUCUGAGCAGCCUCAGUGGCCUUCAUCCUGUGGAUCUCCGGGGAUGGCUCCAGCAGAAAUAGGUAGGCUUGCAGUGCUCACAUGAAGGUGAUGUCCAGCUCCAAGGUUGCAGUUAAUCAAGUCCACUCAGUGAAGCUGAACAAUUUAAUCCAUGUCUGAUGAAGCCUUGGAUGUAAUUUAUCUGUGCUAUAUCAAAUUCUCUUCAAAUCUAAAGCAAUCAUUAGGGGUUAGAUGGAGGGAAACU